ACUUACGGCCACAUCACAUUGAAUGCACCAGUUCUCAUUCAAUCACUGAAGUUAAGCAACAUUGCACCUGGUUAGUACUUAGAUUGGUGACCACUUGGGACACCUAACUGUUGUAAGCA
rnacentral:rRNA from 1 species